rnacentral:rRNA from 1 species
GGGGGGGGAAGCGUUUGUUUCGGAAUUACUGGGUGUAAAGGGCGUGUAGGUGUUCUGGAAAGUCUACUGUGAAAUCCCUCCUCUCAAGGGAGGAACUGCAGUAGAAACUUCCAGAAUUGAGUACGGGAGAGGAGAGCGGAACUCCCAGUGUAGCGGUGAAAUGCGUAGAUAUUGGGAGGAACACCGGUGGCGAAGGCGGCUCUCUAGCCUGAUACUGACACUGAGGCGCGAAAGCCAGGGUAGCGAACGGGAUUAGAUACCCCGGGUAGUCCUGGCUGUAAACGAUGAGCACUAGGUUGGAGGCUCCUCCCAUAGGCUUCCGACCGAAGCGAAAGUGUUAAGUGCUCCGCCUGGGGAGUAUGGUCGCAAGGCUG